UGUUCCUCCUCCUCCUCUCUCUUACUUUAUAAAGCCUCAGACCGCUGGGAAACUUGAAAAUUGACCAGCCAAGUAGGAAAUGCAUUUGGUGUUUUAAAACAAUGACCUUGUCUUCCAGUCACUGGGGACAAACUGCCUUGGAGCAACUUAAGUCUUCCCAGUAUGCAAAUAGCAGUUUCUAAAAUCCCAGGUUCAGGAAAGCAGUCGGAAGGUCAUGGAGAUCCUCGCCACCAUUCCUUAGGACCUUCCUUUCCUGCGACCGGAGUCCACUCUGAUAUCUUACAGAGCCCUUUUCAGCCUCGGGAGGAGCUGUUUAAAGUCAGGUCUGUAACUUUAGGUACCUGAAUUUAGAACAGCCGCUAGGACAAUGCUGCCCAGCUGCCUCUUUCUCCCUGUAAUACGCUAUUUCUCCAGCAGGUGGAGCUGGGAGAUAAAAACUACAAGCCUGUGCCGGAUUCCUUUGAGUGGGAGCUAUCUCUGCUGAGAUCCUGAUUGAAUGAAAAUUGUUCAUUAUGCAAACUGUCUGGUUCAGUACACAGAGGCAGCCCCCAGGCGCAAACCCCAAGUAGUUGCUUUUUCUCUCCCCAGAUUAAAACAUAUGAACUGCUUUGAUGUAAUCUUAUAACAAAGCCUAAUAGAAAUUUUAUUUCUUCUGAAGUUGCCUGUCAUUUCUUAUUGCCCCCCUUCCUCUGUCCUAUUAAUACCCUUACAGUCAAGGAUAUGCUGCUCUGAGUCUGGCUGUAUUUGAGGAUGAGAACAGUGUGUUUUCCUCCACAAUGGUUUGAGUUAUUUAAAUAUAGCUACACGGCUUUGGAUAUGUUUAAUCUCCUGGUUUUCGCCCCCACCCCCAUCCCGUUGCCAUUUAUCAUUUUAAUGGAAUGCUACACAAUGCCACAUUAUGCAAUGUGUUUAAAUUGAUAAAUUAUAUUAGGAAAAUAUUGGAUAGGAGUUCUUAAUGGUAAGUGGGUUUUUGUGGAAAUAUUUUCUCAUUAGUAGAUCAGCUCCUUGCAGGGUAGAAAUUCUAAGGAUUUGGGAAUAAGCUAUAUUUAUGACCUAUUUGGCUAAUUAAAAUUAAAGCAUAAUUUUAGCAUGAAGUUCCUGCAAGACUUUGCAGAGAGGGUGGAGAAAGAAACUUGCCCAAAUCCAGUUACUUUUAAAUGUCAGUUGCCAUAACAACUUCGCAUGAGCCAUAUUUUUUUACUUGAAAAUUCCUUUUAGGAUUCGGUUGCUAUAAUAAUUUGCCUCAGCUCUUUUUAGGAGGCAUAUUUUCCUAUUUUCCUUUUGUGAUCAUUUCAAAGCUUUCAUUACUGUAACAAAAAAAAAAAAAAUGACCAUGUAAACCUCAACUCUCCAUUUUUCCAUGUGCAAAGAGCAGAGUGGUCCCCAAAAAUAGAAAUGUGGUCUGUGGAGAAUUCCUUUCCAGGGCGGGCUCUCCAGGCCAGAGGGAAAGGCGAGGCUCUAGGGAUCCGUUGUUGCAGCAGCCUGCUCCUUCUGGCCAGGAAUGAUUCAACCAACAGAUCUGGUUUUUUCUUUUUGAGACAGAGUCAUUCUAUAGCCCAGGCUAGGCUCAGAUACAAAAUAAUCCCCCUGCCUCAGCCAUCUGAGUCCUGAGAUUCACGGGCAUGAGCCACCACACCCCAAGAGAAUUUUCAAAAAUUAUUUUAUGAGUUUGAGUGUUUUGCCUGCAUGUAUGUCUGCGCCACAUGUGCCUGGUGCCUGAAGAGGCCAGAAGAGGGCAACAGAUCCCCUAGGACUUGACUUACAGAGUUAUGAGCCACCACGCGGGUGCUAGGAAUAAAGCCUGGGUCCUCUGGAAGAACAGCUAGGGUUUUUAACCCUUCUCGCCAUCUCUCCAGACCCCUCAACAAAGGAUUUAAAGCAUGACUAUUAAGCUUUUCUGUGUCAUUGUGGAGUUUGGGGUUGUGCUGGGUAUUGAACCCAGGUCUCCACACAUGCUCGGCCAGGGUUUGCCUCUGAGUUGACACCAAGCUGGUGCCCUGGACAUUUUGCAAAAGGCAAGGACCUGACCAACCCUCUCAAGAAAGGAUGAGUUCUUUAGCAUCUUAUUAACAUCAUAUUAAGCCCACUGGGGUCUUACACAUCUGAAGGCUCAUUGGUGUAUUGUCUGGCAGAGCCGCUGGUACUGGACGACUGAGCGGAACAAUCCCCAAACUAUUUACUUAGAAGCAACUUGGCAGCAGGGUAAAGUUCAGCGCCCUUUCUUCUACCAAGUGGCCCUAAACCUUAAUUCUUUAGACAAUAUGCUCUCAGAGAAGCACCUGUGACUGAGACCUGUUCUGGACACGGGCACACUAGAGGGGACGAGAGCCCUGCCAGCUCUGCAGACUUUCCAAGGCAGUUGUCAUCUGAAAGCUGUGGUUUGAGGUAAAGGGCUUGUAAGUGGGAAGGACAUUUCAUUUUCAGGUUUGUGGCUCCAUCUCGUAGGUGGAACCUGGCUGCUCCUGCUGGUCUCCUGUGUCCCUGGUCAAAUCUGCAAUCAAGUCUCACCAGCUUUAGGGACACAGUAGGUCUUCAGCUUCAGAUCCAAGUUAUCUCCUCUCCUGUCUUUUCUCCUCCCUUCCCAACUCUGGUAGGUUUUGAGUGGCCAUCCUUUUAUUUUGAACAUUUAUUUAUUUAUUGCUACGCUUGUGCAUGGGCCAUGGCACGUGCAUAGAGUUCAGAAGAUAAUUUUCAAGAGUUAGUUCUCUCCUUCUAUGGUUCCAGGGAUCAAACUCAGGUCAUCACAUUUGGCAGCAAGUGCCUUAACCAUUGAGCCAUCUCACUGGCCCCUCUUGGUUUUUUGAGACAGAAUUUCAUGUUGCCCAAGCUACUUGCCUUGAACUCACUAUAUAAAUGCAAGGGUAACAUUGAACUUCUAAGCUCCCUGUGCCUUUAUAUCCCAAGUGCACAGCUGGGAUCACAGGCGUACCAGCACACCAGGCUUACACCAUGCUGAAGAUCAAAUCCAGAGCUUGUGCACACUUGCUGAGCAUUCUACCAAUGGAGCUAUAUCCCCAGCCUGAGCGGCCAUUUCUUUUCAAGUCUGAAACUGAAUUGGUUGGAGAGAAUUCUGUAGGGAGGGUAGUUGGAGGAAAGAGGAGAGACAUGGUGAGUUUCCUGCCUCAGUCCUUGGAACCUACUUCAUCUCCUGCCAUCCUGUAUGGUGAGGAUGACAUCUGUUUUCCUACCCCAAAGGGUGGAGAAAGUGAAGGUUGGAUGCAAUGAUUUGUAAAGAGGAUACACAAAACACUUUGUCAUCAUGCAGGGGAUGAUAACCACAGCAUCUCCUCUCCCCGCUUAGGUCUGCCCUCUGUGCUGUUACCGGAAAUCAACUGGAGUUCGAAAACAUCCAAUGACAAAUUCCAGGACUCACAUGUAAGUCUCAUCUGCACACAGUUCUGAGGAGUUGUUGAAUGCAAGCCCCACAGUACUGCAAUGGGUAACUAAGAUAGGUGCUCAGUGACUGCCAACAGAUGUGGCGCUGUGGCAGGGACAACCAGGGACAUUGUGAGAGCUAAUCAUGCCACUAGGAAUGACUUCCCAGGGACGGGGUCAGUAAUGGCCUGAUGCUGAGUCACGGUGCCCGUAUCAUCUGCUCCAUCUCAUCCAGCAGGCGCUGGGUCAUCUGGAGUCAUACACGUGUUCGUGCAGGAUACCACGCUGGGAAAGAGUCAGCCACACUUGUGUAGAUCUUACAACAAUUUGUUCUUAUGAUUGUUCCAUUACAGUUAAUACCUUUCUGUGCUUAAUUUAUGAUUCUGCUCUUUAAAUGGUUAUUUAUUUUAUGUAUAUGAGUAUUUGUCUGAGUGUCACGUGUGCCUGUUGCCCAAAGAGACCAGAAGAGAUUGUCCCUUGGAACUGGAGUUAUAGACAGUUGUGAGCUGAUAUAUAUGUGCUGGGAAUCCAACCCUGGUCUCUGAAAAAGUGGCACUAUUAACCUCUGAGCUAUCUCUCUAGCCCAUGAUUUUAUUUAUUUAUCUGUCUAUCUAUCAGCUGUUUAUUUUGAGACAGGGUCUCUUUCUGUAGCUCUGGCUGUCCUGGAACUUACUUUGUAGACCAGGCUGACCUUGAAUUCAUAGAUAUCUGCCUAUCUCUGCCUCUUAAGUGCUGGGACUAAAUGUGUGUGACACCGGACCCAACUAAAUCUGAUUUUUAUAAUAAGUAGGUAUGUAUGUGAGAAAACAUAAUAUGUAUGGACUCAAUAUUGUCUACAGUUCCAGGCUUCCCUGGUCUAUUUUUUGUUUGUUUCAGGGUCAAAGUCUUAUGCAGUCCAAGAUGGCCUUGUAUUCUCUCUCUGUAGUUUCUUUUUUGUUUGUUUUGUCUCUCAAGACAGGGCUUCUCUGUGUAGCCUUGGCUGUCCUGGAACUCAUUCUAUAGACCAGGCUGGCUUUGAACUCAGAAAUCCACCUGUCUCUGCCUCCCCGACUGCUGGGAUUAAAGGCGUGUGCCGCCAUCACCUGGCUGACCUUGAACUUCUGAUUCUCCUGCCUCCACCUCCCAAAUACUAGAAUUAUAGGCAUGCACCCUGUGCUGUUUAGGGUGUGAGAUAUGGAGCCCAGGGCCUCAUGCUUGCGAGGCAAGAACUCUUAAGUAAGCGGCAUCCACAGUCCCUGUGGGAGGCCUUCAAACAGACCCUGCCCCCCAUAAGAGGGAUGACUACUCUAUUUUCUCCUCCGGGCAAGCUGUCUUUGGAAGUUGGAGCUCACAUGGGAAGGAAUCAACGGGGCUGAAACACGAGCUGCUCUUUUCAAACCCAGCAAUGUGCCUUUGGAAGAGGCUUUGAGGAAGGUUUGUAUCUGUUUGGGGAUGCUCAACAUUUUGAUUGUUCCAUACACGUCCACUGAAAUGUAAUACUUGACAUUUCUCAAGAACCAGUUGUGUAAGUUUUUUUUUUUUUAAACCAAGUGUAACUGAACUAUAUGUUCGGGGAAAUGGAAAUAAAACAUUGCUUAGUUUAGAUAUGAAGCUGGCUUCCACUUCAUCCUCACCCUGCUUUGAGGACACCCAUCUUCUCCCCACGUCCUAGUCCCUGGGCAUAAGAGGUAGACCACUCCUGUGCAUGAGAGGGAGGUGGUGUCGGCAGAAGCAGAGUGAGAAUUCUUUGGCCAGACAGCCUGUGUUCGAAUCCCACGCCUUUCAUUUGCCUGACUGCAGAAUUUACCCAAGGGCAAAAUAGGGAUGGCAUCCUUGCCUGCCUUGCAGUCUAUUACAUGGAUUAGAAGUAACACACAGUACUGAGCCUAAAACAGGGUACGUUCCAAAAAAAAAAAAGGCACUGACGACUGUUAACUCUGCUCCCAAGGACAAAGCACCCCUUGGUGGAUCUGGCCCAGCUGCAGAGCCAUGAACCACUGCAGGGCUAUUUUCACAACCUCCACUGAUUAGCAUGAGGCAGCUUCUGGAGCCUGCUGGUGACUUUCAUUUCAAGGGCCCCCAAAGGCAAAUCUGGGACAGCAAUGGACGGCAUUGCUCUGGGACAGUGGGUGGACAGUGCUGCAGCCAGGCCAGAUCUGACUCAGCCACAGAGAAAGUUUUUCUAAUGAUCAGAAGCAACCAAUGACAUAUAAAAGUGGAUUCUCUCUCUCUCUCUCUCUCUCUCUCUCUCUCUCUCUCUCUCUCUCUGUCUCUCUCUCUCUCUCUGUCUCUCUCUCUCUGUGUGUGUGUGUGUGUGUGUGUGUGUGUGUGUGUGAGAGAGAGAGAGAGAGAGAGAGAGAGAGAGAGAGAGAGAGAUAGUGUCUUGCUAUAUAGCCCAGGCUGGCUUUGAAUUCCUCCUUAGUCUCCCAAGUACUGGGAUAGUGGGUAUAUGCCACCACACCUGUCUUAACAGGUUGCUUUAGACUAUAAUGGUCAUCCAUUAGAAAAGGCUAGAAGCUGGACACGAUGGCUCACAAACAUAAUCCCAGGACUUAGGAGACUGAAGUAGGAGGAUUGUGAGUUUGAGGCUAACAUGUGCCAUAGAGCAAGACAUUGUCUCAAAGAAAAGGAAGAAAAAGGCUGCGAACAUAGUCUAUGGCAGGGUACUUACCCAGCAUGCAUGAAGUCUGGAGCUUGAUUUCUAGCACCAAAUAAAGUUGGGGUUCGGUGGCAUACACCUGGCCCAGGACUCUGGAUAGAGGUAAGAGAAUCAGAAGCCAAAAGCCAUCCUCAGCUACAUAGUGAGUUUAAGGCCAGCUUGGGCUACAUCCCAAAAGAAGAAUGAAAAGGGAGAAGGGCAGGAAAACAUUUAUAAAGCCUUGCUUGGUCCUGGUAAGCACCAGUUUUAGGUGAGAAGUGAUGUUCUCCGUCUCAGUGAUGGGGUCAGUAUUUGCCUUUGGUCCCCUCCCUGGGGUGUCUUGUGGGCACCGUGCUCUGCUGUGACCUGCCUCUUUAGAAACCACCUCAGAAAAAAGGGAGUCAGGGCUGAGGAACACUCUGAAACAGCAAAAUGGUUUUGGAAAGUAGAGCCUGGCUUUGCAGAUCCAAAGUCAUAGGCACCCCCGAGGACCACUGGGAAAUUCUCACGGGCAGGCAGGAAACUCAGUGGAGGUCUGAACAGAUACAGCAAGCCUUUGUACUGGAGGUAGAUCUCCAGAUGACUUUGUCACCCAGUGAGAAGAAUGGCAGGUCCAUCAAAGGUAUGUCUCGAACCUAUGAGGUGACCUUAUGUGGAAAAAUAGGUCUUUGCAGAUGUAACUAUGUUAAACAUCUUGAUUUUUGGGGUGUGCUGUGCAUUUGAUGUGUUCUUAUAGAAUGGGAGAUGGGACACACAGAAGGUGAGGUAUAAACAGGUAUUGAAAUGAUGCCACGAGCUAGGAGAAAGGGCAGAUUAUCCCUCAGAAUUUCAUUCUUUAAAUUGUGUGUGUCACUGGAUGGCUGCACUCGGGAGGCAGGAGCAGGCAGAGCUCUGUGAGCUUGAGGCCAGCCUGAUUUACAGAACUAGUUCUAGGACAGCUAAGGCUACACAAAGAAACCCUGUCUUCAGAAAAACAAAACAAAAGUGUGUGUGUGUGUGUGUGUGUGUGUGUGUGUGUGUGUGUGUGUGUGUGUGUGUACCCAUGGAAGAAGGGCAUUGGAUUCAGAAGCUGAGUCAUAGGAAGUUGUAAGCCACCCAACAUGGGUUCUGGGAACAGAACGUAGGUCCUCUGAAAGAUGAAUAAGCACACUUAACUGCUGGGCCAUCUCUCUAGCCCCUCCCUGGGAGGUUUUAAAUAGCAUGUCUAACCUGUGGUCCAUGAAUGUGUCCCAGGAUAGCUAUGAAUGCAGCCCAACACAUUUGCAAACCACAACAUCAUGUCACAAUGUGAAAGGUUGAACACCCAGGAACCAAGCCUGCCACAACCUGGAUCUAGAUUUCUGGUCUCAAUAGCAUGAAUUUCUUUUGUUUUGUUUACUCUUCUUGUGGCCAUUUAUCUGGAUGGCCAUAGGGAACUCACACAGCCUGUCCUGCCAUCUUGAAUUCUCUCUGGCUAGGUCAACAAGGGGGGAGCCAUUGUACUUGCUGGCAUUGGGAUCCCUGACUCCCAGACAGAAUACCCAUCUCAUUGCCUAGUCCUUACUCUUCUUUACUCUCAAAUGUAUCCUGCUCUUGGCUUGCUUCCCCCCGUCAGGUACAGUCGCAUUGCAUGCUUAGUGGCUGGGUUUCUAUCCCUUUAUGGUGUCUCAGCAACAGCAUCAGGGAACACGGGCUCACCAUCACAGGAUCCAGUUCCUGUGUGGAAAAGGCACCAACAGGAAGGACAUUUUCGGAAACCACCUUACAAAGUGGCAGGAGGGGAGGAGACUCGCAGCCCACAGCUCCCAGCCAGAUUCUGCCAGCAGUGACUCUAAUCUGCUUUGACCUGGACACGGCUGUUGUCACCUGCUUUCUUUGGCAUCUCACUCAGAACCGUAGCUGCCAAGGAUCCAUUGUCAUCGGCAGAGAGUUUUCGCGUAGAAAGACACUUUCAUGAGAGUCGGCACCACAUUCUGCUCCUUAGUGGGUAUUGUUCCCGAAACGAAGUUUUUCGUUAACGAGUUUGAGGGUUUUGAUCUUGAAAAGCGCUGGGGAGAUAAGCUGGCUGGGCUAGCAGUGGUAUGCCUUCAGAGGCGAGUGUGAGCCAACACUGUGUUCUGGGAGCAGAAGACCAGCCCAGGAGGGGUCUGGAAACGGGCCACAUGGGGGGAGUGGCAAUGCUGGGUGACCCCACCCUACCCUCUGCGGCCCCCACACACAGCCCCUGCUUUCUCCCAGGAGAACAGCAGAGCUCCGGGAGCCCCAUCCUGCUUUUCAGACUGAAGCUGCUGUUCUGGUGAAGACCAGGAUUAGCAUGGAAAUAGAGACAUCAUUCUUUAGGGGACCUCUGUUGACAUCUCCCUCACGCAUCAGCAUUGGAGAAUCAGUCCCUGGGUUGUGCUCUGAGGACAGGGGAUCCAUUCAUCCUGUCUCCUGGCAGGUGGUCACUCAAGGAGCUCUUGUGCUGGACCCCGUUACCACAGGGUCAUAUAUGUGGGCCGUCAUGGACUCUCUCGGCCAGCUCGGUGCCUGAGGAGCAGAUCCAGACCUAACCUGAACUUUUCACGCCUUCUCCUUUCAGUCUUUUUUUUUUCCUUCCCUCCUUUCUCUUGCAAGCCUUCCAACAUUAUUUUCUGUGUAAGAGCAACAAGCCCCGAACGCUGCUGGAAGAAGAAGGUCUGUCAAGUGCCAGGAGAGAAGUGGGGGCGGGGGGAGAUCCAGAGCUGCCCAGCAGCAAUUACUGGAAGGUGUGUUCCCACCCUCCCCAGCUCAGCAGGUGAGCCCUACCUGUGCCAGCCUAAUUGCCACCCGUCCACAGCCCUGCGUGGUAACAAGGAACUCAAACACCAGGACACUCUUUAAAUGACGCAACAUUUAAAUAACAUCCAUUUACCUUUCACGCACCUCUGCUUCGCUUCUUAAUUACUAACAGCAUCUGAUUUCCGAGGAAGCCUUUUACCUAUGGAAUUCAUUUCCUCAUCCUCCCCAUGGGGAGGCCGCAGCCCCCGUCGGAGCACAGUGGUUUUCGGGUGACAGACUGAUGGGCCAGAAAGUCUUGAUCUGUAAGGCCAGAGAGAGGCUGGGAGAGGGCUGCUGUCUUCACUGGAAAGGCAGCAUGCUUAAUGGAGUCCUCGGCAAUGGAGAGGGAGGGGUGCUGCGGCGCAACACAGGAAGCUGCGGCAUGAAGUGUAAAUAUGAUGAUUGUUGUCUCUUUCACGGGAGGUAAAUAAAUCAGCUCCGUGUAGACUCGAGAGGUGGCUGGUGAUGCUGUGUACUUACAUGGCAUCGCGAGCCUGGCCUCUUCAGCGUGCUUCAAGCCUUGAUUCAUUACGCUUUCCACCAGAGGGAAGGCGAUGGGGAGAAUUAUCAUCCCGGCAAGAAACCCAGAGGUUAAGCGACAGUAAGUUGGGAAGAAGGCGCAGCCUUCGCAGCCCACCCCGAGCUCCCGCCGCUAAAUCACGCUCCACUUAGAUACAAGUAAUUGUCAGGUAACCUAUUUUUCGGGGUCUAAUUUCAGCAUAUGGGGGCUUUGGCUCCUCUGUAUCUGAAGACUGUAUGAGCAGGAAAAAAUGAUUUUAAUCAUUUCCGUGCUUGUUUGGGGCCUGGAGGGUCCUAGAGCAAGCAGGCGCGUCUAACCUGUCCCCACUCCCGUGCGAAAGAGGGAGGGAAAUGCACUAUCUAUGGAAUCAUGAGACCUAGAGCUUCCAUUUCAUGAAAGCAUGGAUCUGACAUUGUUUCAUCUUGAAGGAUCUGUUGCCCAGGUGUCCCCAGGAAGGAAGGACUCAGCCCGAGGGAUGCCCAGAGGCAGUUUCACCUGCAGGGGCUGCUCAGCGGCUGAGGUCUGCAAAUAGGUCAGAAAUGAAAGGUUCCUCUCCUCCCAGGUCCAAUUCUCCUUGGUUGUGGAAUGGAAAAGCUGGACCCUGUUAGAGUUCAGAAGGGUAGGCCAUGACUCCCUGGAGGGUCCUCCCAUCCACUCUCACAUCUGCAGUCUGGGGCUCUCCUCACCCUAAGCCUUACAGUUUGGGCGGCAUCUGAGAAUGGGCGUUGAGAGCAGGUCGGGUUGCCACCAGAGCUCUGUCACAUGGGUUACCAAGGAGCCACUGUAGAGAGGAAACUGCCUUCAGUGUCCCCAAAGACCCAUUUCCUCCAGGCCAGCAUGUGUGGAGAACCUCUACCAGGUCCCAGCUGCCUCUCCGAGAUGGCAGCGAGGAGGGAUGGAUGCAGACACAGCACCUCUGGGCACCCAGGGAAGGUGCCUGAAGUGUCUGGAUCCUCAUAGCGAGAUGGCGUAGCCGGGCAUGGCUGCUUGGCCACCACCUCCUCCUGUCCCUGCUGGAGAGAGAAAGAAGGGGGAUGGGCUGCAUGUAGCUCUCCCCUGUUUACUUAGCCUGAAGCCACAGCACCCAGACUGGGUCCCAGUUAUAUUGGGCAGGUUCUGUGGGACCAGUAAAGGCACACAGUUAAUGUACAGGGACCUUGCCACCAUUGUCUUGUCCCUGUUCUUUCCCAUCCCUCUCUCUCUCUCUCUCUUCCUCUCUCUCUCCCUCCCUCCCUCUUCUCCUCCCCCUCCUCUUUUUUCUCACUCAGCCUCUCUGCUGAAUUCUGCAUUGACAUCAGCACUUCCAAAAGCAACAACAGAGGAAAGUAGGUCACUGGCAGUACCAGAUCAGAGCUGGCCCUGGGUGGGGGCUGAGUCUGGGGUACAGCCCAUCUCAUGGAAAGCGAAGGGGCAGCCUCCAAACUCUAUGCCUGCUGUCUUGCGGGGCACUUGGUCCCUCAUACCCAUACCCUUAGGGGAGGUGGUGGCAUGUGUGUGCAACCUGUUUGUUGGCACGUAGGUUCCCGGAUGGACCAGGCUGGGGUUUCUGCAUCGUGAGCAGCACCCCCUCCCCCACCGUCCCUCUGGUCCUAAUAAAGCAUUGAGAAUCAAGAGACUUGGGGUGCACACACCUCGUCUUGAGAGUGGGAAGCCAGCCUCCAGAGACCACAUGCUCACUGACACACAUGUGUGCACAGGCCCAUGACGCCUGUUCCCCUCUUUCUCUAGGGCUUUAUGUAGAAUAUUGCCUCUGCUCUCUAUGGCCAUGGAACUCCCGCUCUACUUGAAAGAUUACCCAACACGCUAAUUGGGACUCCUGCUAUGAUUAAAAAGAAAUUUCCGAUUAGAGCCACCAUGCCGUAGAGCUUGGGAAGAAAACAGCUCUUUAGAAACGCAGCGGGGGCAGACUUCGAGGUUGUGUUGAGGUUUGGGUUUUUUUUCCCCUCUAACUUGGAAAGAACCUGCAUCUCCCUGACAUUUUUGCCUGGGCCAAGUCCAGGGCAAAGACAGUGGCCAGGUAAGGCCCAAAGCAUCGAAACAGGGCCCAUCUGCCAAGAGAAAAAAAAAUGGUAGCCUUUCCCCCUACUUUUUCUUGGGAGGGCUGUGAUGGAGCUGUUUCUGCUAGAUCCCACCCUGCCUGCUGCACCUUUGGCCCCCUGAUUGGCAGAUGUCACGGUUGGUCUCAGUCAGUCCUUGCCUGGGAUAAACGUUUUCUGAGCAGCUAGGGUGAGCAACACAUUUCAAUCUAGCUCCCUGAAGCGAUUAGCUCCUAGCGCUGGCAGGUCCCCAGAGAGGUUGGGGGAGGGGAGGGCGGGAGCUGUGGUCAGUCAAAGGCAGACACUUCUGAAUGGUUCCACUGCUAGAGCCUAGAUCAUCCCUGCUUCCAGAUUUCAUUAGCUUGAGGAGGGAGGCCCCACGUCAUCCUUUCGCCUCUUCUGGGCAUCCUACCUUGUAAGGUAGCAUCAGAGUGAGUCCCUCCAUCUCUUUUCCACCCUAGCCAAAAGCCCUCUACACCCAUCCUCUAGUUAAGAUUUUAAAACUUUGACAUUGAACCCAAACCCUUCUAAAAGAGAGCCAUUUGACUUUAUGUAAAUAAAGUAUCUCCUUAAUAUCGACUUCAUUAAAAGACCCAAGAAAAGAGCAUCGGCGUUUGCUGGUGGAAUAGUAUAAUUGUCUUCAAGGGUAAUUGGCUAGUUAUUGAGGAUAAUUGUCUGCAGAUGACGGGGAGACAGGUAAAAGGGGAAGGAGACCAGGGGUAAGGGCUGACUCCAGCAAGCAGCCCUCGCUUUGAAUGGGAAAGGCCAGAACUGCACAGCCAAACUCCCCCAAUACCACCAUUCACUGAGCGUGGGGACCCCACAAAAGUAAAAUUCCAGCUGGGCGGCAAUGGUGCACGCCUUUAAUUUCAGCACUUGGGAGGUAGAGGCAGGCGGAGCUCUGUGAGUUCCAGGCCAGCCUGCUCUACACGGAGAAACCCUGUCUCAAAAAACCAAAACCAAACAAACAAACAAAAAAGAGUAAAAUUCCAGAAAUAAUUUGGAGGGGCAACACACACACACACACACACACACACACACACACACACACACCUCCAACUAGAGAACCCAAGUCGCAGCCACCAAUGUACCAGUGCCAUUAGUUCAGAAAAGAAAUUCUUUUAGAACAUCACUCUUCCCCCAACCACAUAUAAAGAUGCACUUUCUGAAUAAAGGAUUAUCUUUAGAUUGAAUAAAUCUGGCUUAAUGAAAAGCCCACUGCAUUAGUGUUUCAUUGGAAAUCAGCAGAAACCGUAAUCACAGGCUCCCCUUGUCUUCAGACGAGCGUUUGGAAAGCACUGGCUGGAGCUUUGACUCCCCAGUUGCAUGGUAGCAUGGUUGGGAAGCAGAGGGCCUGGCCUGGGAUUCCGCGGCUGCCUUCUGGUUAUCUUUUAAUCCUCCUCCUCCUCCUUAGUUCCCAUUGUGUGAGGGAGAAGGGAAGAAGACAGAUCUGAAUCAAACUAGACCCGAGAGCAAAGAUGCUCACCUGUAUUCCUAGCAUGAGGGAGGCUGGGGCAGUCAGAGCUGUGUUUAGUUUAUAUGCAUGCGUGUGCGUGUGCGUGUGUGUGUCUGUGUGUGCGUGUAUGUACUCACUCACAUCUGUGCAGAGGAUAUGUUGGUGCCAGGGAUCUUCUUCAGUAUCUCUCCACCUUAAUUUUGAGACAGGCUCUCCCACCCAGUCUAGAACUCACCAACUGGCUAAACUGGUGGGCCGUGAGUUCCACUUACCCCGUUUCUGCCUCCCUAGCACUGGGGUUACAAAUGUUUCACCAUUGCCUGGCUUUUCUUUUCCUUCCUUCCUUCCUUCCUUCCUUCCUUCCUUCCUUCCUUCCUUCCUUCCUUCCUUCUUUCCUUCAAGCAGGCUGGCCUCAAACUCAUAGAGAUCCGCCUGCCUCUGCCUCCCAAGUGCCAGGAUCAAAGGUGUGUACCACCACACAUGACCCGCUUCCUUCCUUCCUUCCUUUCAUCUUUCUUUCUUACAUUUAUUUAUCUGUGCAUGCGUGUGUGUGUGUGUGUGUGUGUGUGUGUGUGUGUGUGUGUGUGUGUGUGUGUGUACGCCCCAGGGCAUGUGUGGAGGUCAAAGAACAGCCCUCAGGAGUUGUCUCUCUUUCCACUAUGUGGAUACUCAAAUCAAACGUGCAUUCCUAGGCUUGGUAGCAAGCGUCUUUGCCCAGGGAACUGUCUCUGACCCCACGGCCCAGCAUUUCCCCCGGGCGGGUGCUGCCGAUACAAACCUGUGUUCUUACGAUACACACCUGUGUUCUUACGAUACAAACCUGUGUUCUUACGCUACAAACCUGUGUUCUUACGAUACAAACCUGUGUUCUUACGCUUACAUGACAAGCACUUGGCCAACUAAGCCAGUUCUCUAGCCCCACCCUAAUUCUCUUUGGUGCUGAGUUUUUAGUCUCCCCCAGUCCUAGGGGUCAAAAUUAGAGCAAGGCACAGGCCUGACAAGCCUCCGCCAAACCUCUCCCUCCUCUUCCUCCCCCUCCCUUCCUUCCCCCUCCUCUUCCUCCCACUCCUCUUCCUUCCCCCUCCCUUCCUCUCCCCUCCUCUUCCUCCCCCCUCCUCUUCCUUCAUUCCUUCGUUCCUCCUUCCUUUCCUUUGUUUUUGAGACAGGUCCUUACUAUGCAUCCCAGGCUAGCCUUGAACUUGUAAUGGAGCCCAGGCUGGCUUUGAACUCACAACUGUCCUCUUACUCCAGCCUCCCAAGCACUGAGAUCUUAGACCUAUGCUACCACACCUGGCUGAUUUCUCAAGUGAAGAAAAACAAUGAGAAGAAAACAAAAAUUCCUAGAACAGUCACGGGUUCACAAACGCUUUGAAAAGAGACUCAAAAUGGAUUACGAAAAGAAGCUUGAAGCACAAAGAGCUGUUGAAAGAAAGAGACAGACAGACAGAGGAAACGGCUCAGUAGGUAGAAGCUGUUCAUGCUUGACAACCUGAGUUCAAUUCCCAACCCCCACGGUGGAAGGAGAAAACCAAUUCCCGAACAUUCUCCUCUGACCUCCACACAUGUGCUGUGGCAUGUUCAUGCUUAUACACACAUAAACAAACAAACUGGACCCUUGGAGAGGAAAGUGCUAGAAAUGGACCUAAUUGAAGUGGUUCUUGCAGGCCCUGUGGUCAGCCAUUUUCUCUUCCUUUUGUGGCUUGGGUAUAGACCCAGGGCCUGGCACACCCAGAUCUCACCAUCAACGCCGAGUCGGCCUUUGCCGCUACUUAAUUUUACAUGGUGGCCGCCUCGUGGUGUCCUGGAGGAAGAAGAAUGUGCCCAGGUCUUCUCUUUCUUCACUACUCUUGAUAUCUAUUGAAAUUAAUCCAAGGUCUCACAGAAAUAAUGAUCUAGCCUCAGCUACCCAGAGAUGAGAGAAACCUUGGCCUGUUGGGGAUUUCCUGUCACCAUGCCCCUACUUUCAGUGGGAAAGAGGGGAGAAUUCUUGCCAGCUCUUUCUGUCACCUGAGUUGGAGGUCCUAGUGAUGUAUUUGGGGAAGUUUGAGGGUCAGAGCAGCAAAGAAAAUGUGUAAGGAAAUCGAGACCUGGGACCUUGGGGCUGUUGCCAAGACAUCUAACACUUUUUCCGUUCCCAAAGCUGUGAGUAUGAGAAGAUGCGCUGGGUUCCCCAAUGUAUGCCUGUCUUACCCUGGGUCACAUAGAUGGGCAGGUAGUGGUAGUCUGGGUGUAGAAAACUGUCCACUUGGGGAAGGAGGGGAACGUGGGUCUGAGUAACUGGUAGACCUACUUCUUUAUAUCUGCAAGUGUGGGGGGGGCAUAAUCAAAUCUUCCCACUGCAGGGGGGGGGGGUGUCCUGUUAUCAGGUUGUAUCUACAAGGGGGAGGGUCUUUCAAAUCGUGACACGCUAUCCGACUCCAAGUUGCUUCUCAUUUUUCCUUGCCAGUGGCCUCUUGGAGAGGAAAUGGUUGAAGAAGACGGAGCUGCAGGAAGACAAGGCCGUGGCCUGGCUGCAGGCUGUCUCCGAGUCUGAAGAGGGUCAGCAACUCUGAGAAAUGAAGCUAUUUCUGAGUGAGAAGGGCCAAAGAAGGAAUAAGGCAGAGGGAGAGCCCCUGAGGAGACUGAGGCCAGAGUGAGGACCCCGUGUGAAGUUGGAGGGGAGGAAGACGGUCAGAGGAAUUCAGUAAGACUCGCCCUCCACACCCACUACACAGGAGACAGAGGGAUGUCACCUGUCCGGCAGAGUGGAGAGACCCUCACCUGUAGUGUGGUGUAGAGGGGACAGAGAAGACGGGCACCAGGACAAGGUUGGGGUUGACGGGCAGCUCCUAGGGUGGGCGCUCAUAGCUGCUGUACCCCAGCAGUAUACAGCUAGGCAGACUGCACAGCAACUUCCAGAAUUCCCAGGUUCCACUCCGUCCCUGCUCUGUGCAGGUAAGACCACGCAGGGUGGAUUUCAGCCUUUUUUCCCCCCUCGCUCUGGUCACAGUCAGCCAGAGUGGGGGUGGGGCCGAUCUUGUAAAAGAGGCUGGUGAGGACAUCUGAAAGUAUGUACCCUCCACUAGCAAAGUGCCAGACGCUCGGUGACACUUUAAAUGUCUCAGAUAAAACAGUGAGAGACUCUCCUGGUGGCAAGCAGGACGAGAGGUCAGGGACCUCAGCGCCUCUGAGGCUCAGACACCUGGAUAAAGAAUAAAAACAUCUCAGAGACCCCUGUGACCCCCUCAUGCGGGGGGAGAAUGUCAAUGUGGCCCAGCCGGCCGCUGGAGCACAGAACCUCGAGGCCUGUGGAGGUAGGAGCUUUCCACUGCUGGGACAUCAGAUAAACCCCUCCGGCCCUGGAGGAGGGAUACGCCUUGGCUCAGGCCUCAGCCCUGAUCUGCCACCUUAUCACAAAGAAAAAAAAAACCUUGAAGAGGGUCACCAGCCUGUGAGGAAGUGAGACAAAGCCUCCAUUUUUACUCAUCCCAAGUGACGCCUCUAUGACCGAUCCCCGUGUCCCUCUCCUGUUGACUACCCUUACAAUCCAAUAAAAGGAAACUCAGCUUUCUACCAGCUUCCUCCUCGCUGGUAGAAAUGUACCCCAAGUGUGCGGGCCUGCCUUGCUCACCCAGACACCCAAUGGCCUGGCUGGGGCUUUGCACAUCAUCGGGGCUCAGAGCUGUUGGUUGCAUGAAUGUCCCACACUUGGCUGCAUGAGGUCCAAUGACAGGAUGUUAUGCCUGUGCGUGCAUGUGUGUGUGUCUGUGUGUCUGUGUGUGCGCAUGCACGCAUGUGUGCAGGUGUGCAUGUGCAAAAUGCCUCUCUUUGGAGCCCUCCUGUCUGUCUGCCUCCUACUGGCCACACAACUGCCCCAUGGAGCUGUGCUUUCUCUUUCCAAGUGCCGAUGUGUGGGUAUGUCCUUCAUCCGGUGCCCCUCCUCUGCUAGCCCUCUGUCCCUGAGAACAUCUUCUGUGUCCUUGGGUUGUCUGGCUGGACAGAGACAUCAUUGUCUUGUCCAUGACUGCUCCCCAGAAUGGCGGCAGGAGGCUGUGACAGAGGCAUCGGGACACAACAUCUCCAUGUUUAGGUCUUGGGCUCUGCCAUCGCUUCCUUCCUCCAAGCAGCUCUCCCAGGAAAUGGUACUUACAGAGAUUGAAGAGUUUAAUACAUGUCUCACUGCCUCUCUUUUCGGAGGCCCCCCAGAGGGAGCAGCAGAAACCAAGACUGGCAGGGGCUCCGAGCUGCCUGGGCAAAGGAGCAGGGGGUGGCAUGGAGCCUUAGCCAAUUUGGAAAGCACCGUGACCCAAGCACAUUCUGCAGCAGUAAUGUCAAAUUCUGCCGUUCAGGCAUGCCAUUGAUGUGCACACUGCCACACAGAAACCAGUGACACAAAGGCACAGCCUUCUCCACCCUCCUGGUGCUUAGAAACUAACGGCUCUAAUGAGAAAUGAGAGCUGAAAGGAGCGGGACGGGAGGCGGGCCACAGCGGUGCAGGCUGGCGUUGAGUGUUGGAGGAGGCUGACCCACUUCUCGCAGAGAGACUGGUACAUCAUCGUCUCCUCCUGGACAACCUCUCUGACUCUCCUACCCCAGCUGAGCCUCUUGCUUUGGAAGACUAUGCUAACACAGGCUCCAGUUCUGUAGAGGUCCAGAAUGCUCGAGAAUGCUAGCGCCUCUCAGCGCCUCAGAGAUCCUAUCUUGUCACUUUGCUGUCCCCAAUGCAGAGACAAUGGCUGGUUCAUGUGUUUGUUGAAUGAAUAAUGAAGAACCAUCCAAGCCCUUGGGUCAUGGAAGAAGCUUGUCUGAAGGUACCAGGGACCACCCCAUGUCCCCACAUGGCUGACUCUGUCCUCUGUCGCUGUAGAAGAGAAGGCUGCUGGGGAGGAGGCGAGAUAAAGGAAAGAGAUGAUCUCUCCUGGGGACAGAAGUCUGUUGCUAGAGUGCUUGCCUAGCCUGCACAAGGAUCUGAGUUUGAACCCCAGCACCAUAUAACCCAGGCAUGGAGGUACAAGCUUGUAUUCCCAGCACUCAGGAGGUACAAUCAGGAGGAUCAGAAGUUCAAGGUCAUCCCCAGCCCCACAGCUAGCUUGAGACCAGCCUGGGCUACAUGAGACCCUGUCUAAAACAAACAACACCACUAACAAAACGACAGAAGGCCAUCUGGUAAUAAUAGUAUUAAGUAAAGAAAAUCCAUCUUAAAAUAAAACAAAUAUAUAUUUUC